UACGUAGGCAGCGAGCGUUGUUCGGAAUUACUGGGCGUAAAGAGUGUGUAGGCGGUGCUCUAAGUUCGGUGUGAAAUCUCCCGCUUAACUGGGAGGGUGCGCCGGAAACUGGAGUGCUCGAGCGUGGGAGAGGAAAGCGGAAUUCCUGGUGUAGCGGUGAAAUGCGUAGAUAUCAGGAGGAACGCCUGCGGUGUAGACGCUUUCUGGACCAUUGCUGACGCUGAGACACGAAAGCGUGGGUAGCAAACAGG
rnacentral:rRNA from 1 species